UAGGGAAUCUUCCACAAUGGGCGAAAGCCUGAUGGAGCAACGCCGCGUGAGUGAAGAAGGGUUUCGGCUCGUAAAGCUCUGUUGUUAAAGAAGAACACGUAUGAGAGUAACUGUUCAUACGUUGACGGUAUUUAACCAGAAAGUCACGGCUAACUACGUGCCAC
rnacentral:rRNA from 1 species